CGAAGAGUUUGCUGAGCGUGAUGAACACUUACAAUGCCGGCGGAAGCCCCGCAGUCUCUACACCUUCGGUUGUGGCUCCAAAGCCGAUGCUUAUGGCUACUUCAUCUCACUCGUCUAAUGGGUCCGCUGCGGGUCUCCAUGUAUGUUGUUGCAGCACAUUAGGUUUGUUGGGAUUGUAGGGAUAUAAGUUAGUUGGUUAGUAGCGUAUGAGUGAAGCAAAGAAUACUUGUAUAAAUACCAAACGCCUCUCUUUGUAAUUCAUUCAUUGUUUAAGAAAUACAAUCUUUAGUCAUUCA